rnacentral:lncRNA from 10 species
AUUGACACACGAUAUUUGUUUUACACCUUGGAUUAUUACUCAGUACUACUUUAUUUUAUUGCUCCAAUUGUUCUGGCUUUAGCCAAACGGAACGUUUCCAAUUGGCUCUUACCUCCUUUUUACAUACUCCCAUCAUUGUGAGUUUUUUUCUUUGUUUUUGAGCACUUGCUUACUUUCUGGCACUGUAACUUUCUCCAGACCUAUCUUGUAUAUUCCUUGUCCCAGCCCUAGAAUCAGACAUUUCUCCAGAGAGCUCUGAUUUAUUUUCUUGGAAAAUGGGAUUACAAAGCGAGUUCUGGUACCUAGCCAUGCUUGUUGCUACUGGGGUGUUAUUGCUUUUCAGCUGGCAGAGCAAGAAAGCAUAUAUAUAAAUACACACACACACACAC